AUGUAAGGACAUGUUUAUUCAAAUUUGCAAUUCAAGGAUGUUUUGUGUAAGAGUUACAUUGUAGCCUGCUGUCAGUGACGGAUUUAGAAAA